rnacentral:rRNA from 1 species
UGGGGAAUAUUGGACAAUGGGCGGAAGCCUGAUCCAGCCAUCCCGCGUGUGUGAAGAAGGCCUUUUGGUUGUAAAGCACUUUAAGCGAGGAGGAGGCUACUUGGAUUAAUACUCUAGGAUAGUGGACGUUACUCGCAGAAUAAGCACCGGCUAACUCUGUGCCAGCAGCCGCGGUAAUACAGAGGGUGCGAGCGUUAAUCGGAUUUACUGGGCGUAAAGCGUGCGUAGGCGGCUUCUUAAGUCGGAUGUGAAAUCCCUGAGCUUAACUUAGGAAUUGCAUUCGAUACUGGGAAGCUAGAGUAUGGGAGAGGAUGGUAGAAUUCCAGGUGUAGCGGUGAAAUGCGUAGAGAUCUGGAGGAAUACCGAUGGCGAAGGCAGCCAUCUGGCCUAAUACUGACGCUGAGGUACGAAAGCAUGGGGAGCAAACAGG